rnacentral:lncRNA from 1 species
CCGGAAACCAAAGACCAAAUCUAAAUAAUGUUAAGAAGACGUGGCCUUCUACAAAGGGGACCAAGCUGGGAAUCACAGGAGCUUCUUGGCAGUACAAUCAUCUGAGACAGCUGAACCAACUGGGUGUGAAAAGUCUUCUGAUGACCCUGCUAGAUUCUUCAGGCUAAUAAGCAGUUUUUCAACAGAGACUUCAACUCAGACGCACCUUUUGAUGAUACGGUAUAUUUCUUCUAUUUUUUGCCUGGUGUUCUUUCAUGCUGUUUGGGCCAGUUGGUUACUUUUUUUCUGACUUGAACAAAGAUAAAGUAAGAUAGUUAUUUUCCUCUGAUCUAUAAACAUAGUUUUGAGAUAUUGUUUAGGAUUGAUGAUAAUAAAUUAAAAUAGUAGAAUGC